GAGUGAUCAAGUGUCUUAAGGGCAUUUGGUGGAUGCCUUGGCAUGCACAGGCGAUGAAGGACGUGAUACGCUGCGAUAAGCGUCGGGGAGGUGCGAAUACCCUUUGAUCCGACGAUUUCCGAAUGGGGCAACCCACCUUAGAUAGCUAGAAAAUUUGAAUUGUUGGCGCUUCGGCAAGAACAGUUCAUCUUUCUAGUUAUCGUAAUAAGGUAUCUAACCUUGAAUACAUAGGGGUUAGAAGCGAACCUGGGGAACUGAAACAUCUAAGUACCCAGAGGAAAGGACAUCAAACGAGACUCCGCUAGUAGUGGCGAGCGAACGCGGACCAGGCCAGUGGCUUAUGUGAGUAAAGUGGAACAAUCUGGAAAGGUUGGCUAGAGUGGGUGAUAGCCCCGUACACGCAACACGAUCAUAAGUCCUUGAGUAGGGCGGGACACGUGAAAUCCUGUCUGAACAUGGGUAGACCACUAUCCAAGCCUAAGUACUCGUGCAUGACCGAUAGCGAACCAGUACCGUGAGGGAAAGGUGAAAAGCACCCCGACGAGGGGAGUGAAAUAGUACCUGAAACCGAAUGCCUACAAACAGUUGGAGCCCAAGAUUUGUUCUGGGUGACAGCGUACCUUUUGUAUAAUGGGUCAGCGACUUAGUGUAACGAGCAAGCUUAAGCCGGUAGGUGUAGGCGUAGCGAAAGCGAGUCUGAAUAGGGCGUUCAGUUCGUUGCAUUAGACCCGAAACCAAGUGAUCUAGCCAUGAGCAGGUUGAAGGUACGGUAACACGUACUGGAGGACCGAACCCAUAUCUGUUGCAAUAGAUCGGGAUGACUUGUGGCUAGGGGUGAAAGGCCAAUCAAACUUGGAGAUAGCUGGUUCUCCGCGAAAUCUAUUUAGGUAGAGCGUCCAGCGAAUACCCCCGGGGGUAGAGCACUGAAUGGGCUAUGGGGACUCACCGUCUUACUGAUCCUAAUCAAACUCCGAAUACCGGGGAGUACUACUGGGCAGACACACGGCGGGUGCUAACGUCCGUCGUGAAGAGGGCAACAACCCUGACCACCAUCUAAGGUCCCUAAGUUAUGGCUAAGUGGGAAAGGAUGUGAGGAUCCCAAAACAACCAGGAUGUUGGCUUAGAAGCAGCCAUCAUUUAAAGAAAGCGUAACAGCUCACUGGUCUAAAUAAGGGUCUUUGCGCCGAAAAUGUACCGGGGCUAAAGCCAUACACCGAAGCUGUGGAUGCACGUAUGUGCGUGGUAGCGGAGCGUUCCGUAAGCCUGUGAAGGGACAGUCGUGAGACAUCCUGGAGGUAUCGGAAGUGAGAAUGCUGACAUGAGUAACGAUAAAGGGAGUGAGAGACUCCCUCGCCGAAAGUCCAAGGGUUCCUGCUUAAAGUUAAUCUGAGCAGGGUUAGCCGGCCCCUAAGGCGAGGCCGAAAGGCGUAGUCGAUGGGAACCACGUUAAUAUUCGUGGGCCUGCAGGUAGUGACGGAUUGCGUGUGUUGUACAUUCUUAUUGGAUUGAAUGUGCAGCGAAGCGGUUCCAGGAAAUAGCUCCUGCAUAUAGACCGUACCCUAAACCGACACUGGUGGACUGGUAGAGAAUACCAAGGCGCUUGAGAGAACUGCGUUGAAGGAACUCGGCAAAAUGCACGCGUAACUUCGGAAGAAGCGUGACCCUUAUUUAGGCAACUAGAUGAGGGUGGCACAGACCAGGGGGUAGCGACUGUUUACCAAAAACACAGGGCUCUGCGAAGUCGCAAGACGACGUAUAGGGUCUGACGCCUGCCCGGUGCUGGAAGGUUAAGAGGAGAUGUGCAAGCAUUGAAUUGAAGCCCCAGUAAACGGCGGCCGUAACUAUAACGGUCCUAAGGUAGCGAAAUUC
rnacentral:rRNA from 2 species